rnacentral:piRNA from 1 species
UGCUAGAUAGCUACAUUGAAAGUCAGAGUAA